CUGGCUCAGGACGAACGCUGGCGGCGUGCCUAAUACAUGCAAGUCGAGCGGAUGAUAAAGGAGCUUGCUCCUUUAGAUUCAGCGGCGGACGGGUGAGUAACACGUGGGCAACCUGCCUGUAAGACUGGGAUAACUUCGGGAAACCGGAGCUAAUACCGGAUAACUC
rnacentral:rRNA from 1 species